rnacentral:rRNA from 1 species
AUUGAACGCUGGCGGCAUGCCUUACACAUGCAAGUCGAACGGUAACAGGUUAAGCUGACGAGUGGCGAACGGGUGAGUAAUACAUCGGAACGUGCCCAGACGUUGGGGGAUAGCUCGGCGAAAGCCGGAUUUAAUACCGCAUAAGCUCUGAGGAGGAAAGCGGGGGACCGUAAGGCCUCGCGCGUUUGGAGCGGCCGGAA